UACGGGGGGGGCAAGCGUUGUUCGGAAUUACUGGGCGUAAAGGGCUCGUAGGCGGCCAACUAAGUCAGACGUGAAAUCCCUCGGCUUAACCGGGGAACUGCGUCUGAUACUGGAUGGCUUGAGGUUGGGAGAGGGAUGCGGAAUUCCAGGUGUAGCGGUGAAAUGCGUAGAUAUCUGGAGGAACACCAAUUGCGAAGGCAGCUCGCUGGGACGUCACUGACGCUGAGACGCGAAAGCGUGGGGAGCAAACAGG
rnacentral:rRNA from 1 species